GAUGAACGCUGGCGGCGUGCUUAACACAUGCAAGUCGAACGGACAGUUCCAAGUUUGUUUGGGUACUCGAGUGGCGACCGGGUGAGUUACCUGUGGGUUCUCUGUCCUGCACUUCGGGAUAAGCCUGUGCAACUGGGUCUAAUACCGGAUAGGACUACUUCGCAGUUGUUGUGGUGGCAAGUUUUUUCGGUGUGGGUUGAGCUCGCGGCCUAUCAGCUUGUUGGUGGGGUGAUGGCCUACCAAGGGGUCGACGGGUAGACGGCCUGAGAGAGUGUGCGGCGACAUUUGGGGUGUGAGACGGGCCAGACUCCCACGCGAGACGGCAGAGGGGAAUAUUGCACGAUGGGCGCGAGCGUGAUGCGGCGACGCGGCGUGGGAGAUGACGGCGUUCUGGUUGUGAACUCCUUUCGCCCAAGAGGAAUUUAUGACGGUAUUUGGAGAAGAAGCACCGGCUAACUACGUG
rnacentral:rRNA from 1 species